rnacentral:rRNA from 1 species
AGGCAUAUGCUCGUCUCUAAGAUUAAGCCAUGCAUGUCUGAGUUCAUACCUAGUUAAAGUGAGACUGCGAAAGGCUCAGUACAUCAGUUAUAGUUUAUUCGAUUGUGAAAUCCACAUGGAUAACCGUGGAAAAUCUAGAGCUAAUACAUGCGAAAAAGACUACAGUCAUUUCGGUGGCUGUAGUUGUGCAUUUAUUAGAUUAGAACCAAUCAGUGUUACCUCGGUGACACUGCAGUGGUGAGUCUGGAUAACUGUGCCGAUCGUAUGGCCUUGAGCCGGCGACGUUUCGAUUAAAUUUCUGCCCUAUCAACUUGUUGGUAAGGUAGUGGCCUACCAAGGUUAUAACGGGUAACGGGGAAUCAGGGUUCGAUUCCGGAGAGGGAGCCUGAGAAACGGCUACCACAUCCAAGGAAGGCAGCAGGCGCGCAAAUUACCCAAUCCAGACACUGGGAGGUGGUGACGAGAAAUACCGGGUCGUGCCCAAAAGGUUUCGACACUGGAAUGAGUGCAAUUUAAAAAUUUCAACGAGUAACAACUGGAGGGCAAGUCUGGUGCCAGCAGCCGCGGUAAUUCCAGCUCCAGUAGUGUAUCUUAAAGUUGCUGCGGUUAAAACGCUCGUAGUUGGACAAGAGAGUGAUCAAGUGCGGGCGGGGAGUAAGCCUACUCUGUACUGGCUAGGAUGGCUGGGUUGCAUCUACGGAUGUUAGCUUGGCUGUCUGACUGCUGGGCAGAAGUACUACUUGUCGACCAUGCUGCUUGGUUACUUGUUUGUUCGUGAGAAUAUCAUAUGGCCUUAACUGUGCUGUGUGAUGUAUCUUACGUAGUGUGCCUUGAAUAAAUCAGAGUGCUCAAAGCAAGCUUACGCUUGAAUGUUAAUAGCAUGGAACGAAUGUUUUGUGAAAGCACAAGUAGUGAAGUAUUCGUACUAUCGCUACUUGUGCAGCACCAACUCCGAAUCGGAACAUUGGUAGCCGAAUUCGGGUGAUGAUUAAGAGGGGCAUUUGGGGGCAUUAGUAUUUGGACGCGAGAGGUGAAAUUCUUGGACCGUCCAAGGACUAACAAGUGCGAAAGCAUUUGCCAAGUAUGUUCCCUUUAAUCAAGAACGAAAGUGAGAGGUUCGAAGACGAUCAGAUACCGUCCUAGUUCUCACCGUAAACGAUGCCAACCCGGGAUCAGCUCGGAUGGUAAAUUGUGGAUCCAGGUUGGUCCCCCUGGGAAACCUUGAGUUUUUGGGUUCCGGGGGGAGUAUGGUUGCAAGGCUGAAACUUAAAGGAAUUGACGGAGGGGCACCACCAGGAGUGGAGCCUGCGGCUUAAUUUGACUCAACACGGGAAAACUCACCUGGUCCGGACAUCGAUAGGAUUGACAGACUAAUAGAUCUUUCAUGAUACGGUGGGUGGUGGUGCAUGGCCGUUCUUAGUUCGUGGAGUGAUCUGUCAGGUUUAUUCCGGUAACGAACGAGACCACGAUCUUCAUUUGGGGGUACCCAAGGGGUACCUGUGUGGUGCUCUCACGGGCAUUACAUAGGAUUGCCUCCCUUGGGUUUGGCAUAGAAAUGUGUCUCCCUAUGGAGAGACAGCCGGACUCUAAGCCGGAGGAAGCGUGGCAAUAACAGGUCUGUGAUGCCCUUCGAUGUUCAGGGCCGCACGCGCGCUACAAUGAUAACGACAGCGAGAAUCUGGGCCGAAAGGUCCUGGGAAAUCUUGUAAAUCGUUAUCGUGAUGGGGAUUGAGCAUUGUAAUUAUUGCUCAUGAAAUAGGAAUUCCUUGUAACGGUAACUCACUAGGUUGCCGUGAAUACGUCUCUGCCCCUUGUACACACCGCCCGUCGCUACUACCGAGUGAAUGGUGUCAUGAUGUCUUGGGACUGGACGUUGUUGGCGAUGCAAAUCGCGGACGAUGCUAGGAGCAAGCCAAAAUGGCGCAAUUUCGAGGAAGUAAAAGU